rnacentral:rRNA from 1 species
UACGUAGGGUGCGAGCGUUGUCCGGAAUUACUGGGCGUAAAGAGCUCGUAGGUGGUUUGUCGCGUUGUUCGUGAAAACUCACAGCUUAACUGUGGGCGUGCGGGCGAUACGGGCAGACUGGAGUACUGCAGGGGAGACUGGAAUUCCUGGUGUAGCGGUGGAAUGCGCAGGAUAUCAGGAGGAACACCGGUGGCGAAGGCGGGUCUCUGGGCAGUAACUGACGCUGGAGGAGCGAAAGCGUGGGGAGCGAACAGGA